rnacentral:rRNA from 1 species
AUUGAACGCUGGCGGCAGGCCUAACACAUGCAAGUCGAACGAGUGGCGGACGGGUGAGUAAUGCCUGGGAAACUGCCUGAUGGAGGGGGAUAACUACUGGAAACUGUAGCUAAUACCGCAUACCAUCAGAUGUGCCCAGAUGGGAUUAGCUUGUUGGUGGGGUAACGGCUCACCAAGCCGACGAUCCCUAGCUGGUCUGAGAGGAUGACCAGCAACACUGGGACUGAGACACGGUCCAGAGUCCUACGGGAGGCAGCAGUGGGGAAUAUUGCGCAAUGGGCGCAAGCCUGACGCAGCCAUGCCGCGUGAAUGAAGAAGGCCUUCGGGUUGUAAAGUACUUUCGGUAGGGAGGCGUUACCCGCAGAAGAAGCACCGGCUAACUCCGUGCCAGCAGCCGCGGUAAUAC